rfam:Halobacterium hubeiense strain JI20-1 genome assembly, chromosome: I
GCAGGGAUAGCCAAGUUAGGUCAAAGGCGCAGCGUUCAGGGCGCUGUCCUGUAGGGGUUCGCAGGUUCAAAUCCUGCUCCCUGCA